AAUUUUGCAAGGAGAGUACACCAAUAUCGCAGCAAUCCAACAAAUCACAAUCCAACAAUUUUUAUCAGGGGACUCGAGAUCUCGGAACAUCGAACAAUUCAAUGGUCAAAAGCUCACCGAUACAAUAACCACCAUCUUAUUACCAGAAUGUAAUCAGAACGUUUAAUUCCUUCGAAGAGACAUGCAUACCGGUCAGCUGGAAUCAACAUAUCAUGGCCAGCACAUACUUCUUGAGAUUGUGGAUGACAAUGGAAUCGGUCGUAGGACAGUAAUGAAGCUUUUUGGUCCACUGAAGAUGGAGACGGCAAGGAUGUGUCGAGUGUAAAUAUGCCAAGGACAAUGACACCCGAUGCUAUACAACUAAAUGAUUCAACUUUAUUAAUUAGGAACUUUAUUUAGCGAUGGCGAAGACAUUUUAUACAUUUGUACAACA